rnacentral:rRNA from 1 species
CCUGGUUGAUUCUGCCAGUAGUCAUAUGCUUGUCUCAAAGAUUAAGCCAUGCAUGUCUAAGUAUAAGCAACUAUACUGUGAAACUGCGAAUGGCUCAUUAAAUCAGUUAUCGUUUAUUUGAUAGUACCUUACUACUUGGAUAACCGUGGUAAUUCUAGAGCUAAUACAUGCGAAAAACCCCGACUUCGGAAGGGGUGUAUUUAUUAGAUAAAAAACCAAUGCCCUUCGGGGCUUCCUGGUGAUUCAUAAUAACUUAACGAAUCGCAUGGCCUUGCGCCGGCGAUGGUUCAUUCAAAUUUCUGCCCUAUCAACUUUCGAUUGUAGAGUAGUGGUCUACAAUGGUUUCAACGGGUAACGGGGAAUUAGGGUUCGACUCCGGAGAGGGAGCCUGAGAAACGGCUACCACAUCCAAGGAAGGCAGCAGGCGCGCAAAUUACCCAAUCCCGACACGGGGAGGUAGUGACAAUAAAUACUGAUACAGGGCUCUUUUGGGUCUUGUAAUUGGAAUGAGUACAAUUUAAAUCCCUUAACGAGGAACAACUGGAGGGCAAGUCUGGUGCCAGCAGCCGCGGUAAUUCCAGCUCCAGAAGCGUAUAUUAAAGUUGUUGCAGUUAAAAAGCUCGUAGUUGAAUUUUGGGCCUGGCUGGCCGGUCCGCCUCACCGCGUGCACUGGUCCGGCCGGGCCUUUCCUCCUGGGGAUCCGCAUGCCCUUCACUGGGUGUGUUGGGGAACCAGGACUUUUACUUUGAAAAAAUUAGAGUGUUCAAAGCAGGCCUUUGCUCGAAUACAUUAGCAUGGAAUAAUAGAAUAGGACGGCUUUCCUAUUUUGUUGGUUUCUAGGGAAGCCGUAAUGAUUAAUAGGGAUAGUCGGGGGCAUCAGUAUUCAAUUGUCAGAGGUGAAAUUCUUGGAUUUAUUGAAGACUAACUACUGCGAAAGCAUUUGCCAAGGAUGUUUUCAUUAAUCAGUGAACGAAAGUUAGGGGAUCGAAGACGAUCAGAUACCGUCGUAGUCUUAACCAUAAACUAUGCCGACUAGGGAUCGGGCGAUGUUACUAUCUUGACUCGCUCGGCACCUUACGAGAAAUCAAAGUUUUUGGGUUCUGGGGGGAGUAUGGUCGCAAGGCUGAAACUUAAAGAAAUUGACGGAAGGGCACCACCAGGAGUGGAGCCUGCGGCUUAAUUUGACUCAACACGGGGAAACUCACCAGGUCCAGAUACAAGUAGGAUUGACAGAUUGAGAGCUCUUUCUUGAUUUUGUAGUUGGUGGUGCAUGGCCGUUCUUAGUUGGUGGAGUGAUUUGUCUGCUUAAUUGCGAUAACGAACGAGACCUUAACCUGCUAAAUAGCCCGGCCCGCUUUGGCGGGUCGCUGGCUUCUUAGAGGGACUAUCGGCUCAAGCCGAUGGAAGUUUGAGGCAAUAACAGGUUAACCUUCGGUUAUUAAAACUCACAGGCCUGUGAAAGGGGGGGCGGUAGACCGCCCACCCCUAGUCCACGUCUUUACCCCCGUACACUGCGUGUGUGUCGGGCGGGGGGGCCGGAAACGGCUUGACGCGGGCAACAUCACCUGGUACAGAGGAAGCCCUCACACGGCCAAUUCUGUGGCCCGCCGGACUAGCAGCCGGCGGGUCUCAACGCGCGCAAA